AGGGCGCACGGUGGAUGCCUUGGCACUAGGAGCCGACGAAGGACGUGACAAACGACGAUAUACCUUGGGUAGCUGUAAGUAAGCGAUGAUCCAGGGAUUUCCGAAUGGGGGAACCCAACAGGUAAUACCUGUUACCCACAUCUGUUAAGGAUGUGAGGAGGAAGACGCAGUGAACUGAAACAUCUAAGUAGCUGCAGGAAGAGAAAGCAAAAGCGAUUGCCUUAGUAGCGGCGAGCGAAACGGCAGAAGGGCAAACCGAAGAGUUUACUCUUCGGGGUUGUAGGACUGCAAUGUGGACUCAAAGAUUAUAGAAGAAUGAUUUGGGAAGAUCAGCCAAAGAGAGUAAUAGCCUCGUAUUUAAAAUAGUCUUUGUACCUAGCAGUAUCCUGAGUACGGCGGGACACGUGAAAUCCCGUCGGAAUCUGGGAGGACCAUCUCCCAACCCUAAAUACUCCCUAGUGACCGAUAGUGAACCAGUACCGUGAGGGAAAGGUGAAAAGCACCCCGGGAGGGGAGUGAGAUAGAACCUGAAACCGUGUGCCUACAACAAGUUCGAGCCCGUUAAUGGGUGAGAGCGUGCCUUUUGUAGAAUGAACCGGCGAGUUACGUUAUGAUGCGAGGUUAAGUUGAAGAGACGGAGCCGUAGGGAAACCGAGUCUGAACAGGGCGAAUUAGUAUCAUGACGUAGACCCGAAACCAUGUGACCUACCCAUGAGCAGGUUGAAGGUGCGGUAAGACGCACUGGAGGACCGAACCAGGGCACGUUGAAAAGUGCUUGGAUGACUUGUGGGUAGCGGAGAAAUUCCAAACGAACUUGGAGAUAGCUGGUUCUCUCCGAAAUAGCUUUAGGGCUAGCGUCGACAUUAGAGAUUCUUGGAGGUAGAGCACUGUUUGGGUGAGGGGUCCAUCCCGGAUUACCAAUCUCAGAUAAACUCCGAAUGCCAAUGAAUUAUGGUCGGCAGUCAGACUGCGAGUGCUAAGAUCCGUAGUCGAAAGGGAACAGCCCAGACCACCAGCUAAGGUCCCAAAAUAAUUGUUAAGUGGAAAAGGAUGUGGGGUUGCACAGACAACUAGGAUGUUAGCUUAGAAGCAGCUAUUCAUUCAAAGAGUGCGUAAUAGCUCACUAGUCGAGUGACCCUGCGCCGAAAAUGUACCGGGGCUAAAACAAUUUACCGAAGCUGUGGAUACCUUUAUAGGUAUGGUAGGAGAGCGUUCUAUGUGUGAUGAAGGUAUACCGUGAGGAGUGCUGGAACGCAUAGAAGUGAGAAUGCCGGUAUGAGUAGCGAAAGACAGGUGAGAAUCCUGUCCACCGUAAGACUAAGGUUUCCAGGGGAAGGCUCGUCCGCCCUGGGUUAGUCGGGACCUAAGGAGAGACCGAAAGGUGUAUCCGAUGGACAACAGGUUGAUAUUCCUGUACUAGAGUAUGUAGUGAUGGAGGGACGCAGUAGGCUAACUAAAGCAGACGAUUGGAAGAGUCUGUCUAAGCAGUGAGGUGUGAAUUGAGUCAAAUGCUUAAUUCUAUAACAUUGAGCUGUGAUGGGGAGCGAAGUUUAGUAGCGAAGUUAGUGACGUCACACUGCCAAGAAAAGCUUCUAGCGUUUAAACAUACUCUACCCGUACCGCAAACCGACACAGGUAGUCGAGGCGAGUAGCCUCAGGUGAGCGAGAGAACUCUCGUUAAGGAACUCGGCAAAAUGACCCCGUAACUUCGGGAGAAGGGGUGCUGACUUUAGGUCAGCCGCAGUGAAUAGGCCCAAGCAACUGUUUAUCAAAAACACAGCUCUCUGCUAAAUCGUAAGAUGAUGUAUAGGGGGUGACGCCUGCCCGGUGCUGGAAGGUUAAGAGGAGUGCUUAGCGUAAGCGAAGGUAUGAAUUGAAGCCCCAGUAAACGGCGGCCGUAACUAUAACGGUCCUAAGGUAGCGAAAUUCCUUGUCGGGUAAGUUCCGACCCGCACGAAAGGCGUAAUGAUUUGGGCACUGUCUCAACGAGAGACUCGGUGAAAUUUUAGUACCUGUGAAGAUGCAGGUUACCCGCGACAGGACGGAAAGACCCCAUGGAGCUUUACUGCAGUUUGAUAUUGAGUGUCUGUACCACAUGUACAGGAUAGGUAGGAGUCUAAGAGAUCGGGACGCCAGUUUCGAAGGAGACGCUGUUGGGAUACUACCCUUGUGUUAUGGCCACUCUAACCCAGAUAGGUGAUCCCUAUCGGAGACAGUGUCUGACGGGCAGUUUGACUGGGGCGGUCGCCUCCUAAAAGGUAACGGAGGCGCCCAAAGGUUCCCUCAGAAUGGUUGGAAAUCAUUCGCAGAGUGUAAAGGUAUAAGGGAGCUUGACUGCGAGAGCUACAACUCGAGCAGGGACGAAAGUCGGGCUUAGUGAUCCGGUGGUUCCGUAUGGAAGGGCCAUCGCUCAACGGAUAAAAGCUACCCUGGGGAUAACAGGCUUAUCUCCCCCAAGAGUUCACAUCGACGGGGAGGUUUGGCACCUCGAUGUCGGCUCGUCGCAUCCUGGGGCUGUAGUCG
rnacentral:rRNA from 1 species